rnacentral:ncRNA from 1 species
GGGCGUUCGGUUCCAUCCAAUUUGGAUGGGGGCAAGAGGGAACGCGGUGGGGUGCGUAUAUGCACUGAGUCCGCGGCUGUCCCCGCAACUGUAAGCGGCGAGUUCCAACUGAAUAUGCCACUGGAGUAAUCUGGGAAGGCCAAGUGGAUACAGAAACCCGUGAGUCAGGAGACCUGCCGGACGGA